rnacentral:rRNA from 1 species
AAGCAGAGGGGGCUUAGUGGUGGGGUGACUGCGUACCUUUUGUAUAAUGGGUCAGCGACUUAUAUUCUGUAGCAAGGUUAACCGUAUAGGGGAGCCGCAGGGAAACCGAGUCUUAACCGGGCGUUAAGUUGCAGGGUAUAGACCCGAAACCCGGUGAUCUAGCCAUGGGCAGGUUGAAGGUUGGGUAACACUAACUGGAGGACCGAACCGACUAAUGUUGAAAAAUUAGCGGAUGACCUGUGGCUGGGGGUGAAAGGCCAAUCAAACCGGGAGAUAGCUGGUUCUCCCCGAAAGCUAUUUAGGUAGCGCCUCGUGAAUUCAUCUCCGGGGGUAGAGCACUGUUUCGGCUAGGGGGCCAUCCCGGCUUACCAACCCGAUGCAAACUGCGAAUACCGGAGAAUGUUAUCACGGGAGACACACGGCGGGUGCUAACGUCCGUCGUGAAGAGGGAAACAACCCAGACCGCCAGCUAAGGUCCCAAAGUCAUGGUUAAGUGGGAAACGAUGUGGGAAGGCCCAGACAGCCAGGAUGUUGGCUUAGAAGCAGCCAUCAUUUAAAGAAAGCGUAAUAGCUCACUGGUCGAGUCGGCCUGCGCGGAAGAUGUAACGGGGCUAAACCAUGCACCGAAGCUGCGGCAGCGACACUCAGGUGUUGUUGGGUAGGGGAGCGUUCUGUAAGCCUGUGAAGGUGGCCUGUGAGGGUUGCUGGAGGUAUCAGAAGUGCGAAUGCUGACAUAAGUAACGAUAAAGCGGGUGAAAAGCCCGCUCGCCGGAAGACCAAGGGUUCCUGUCCAACGUUAAUCGGGGCAGGGUGAGUCGACCCCUAAGGCGAGGCCGAAAGGCGUAGUCGAUGGGAAACGGGUUAAUAUUCCCGUACUUGGUGUUACUGCGAAGGGGGGACGGAGAAGGCUAUGUUGGCCGGGCGACGGUUGUCCCGGUUUAAGCGUGUAGGUGUGUGUUCCAGGUAAAUCCGGUUCACUUUAACACUGAGGCGUGAUGACGAGGCACUACGGUGCUGAAGCAACAAAUGCCCUGCUUCCAGGAAAAGCCUCUAAGCAUCAGGUAACAUCAAAUCGUACCCCAAACCGACACAGGUGGUCAGGUAGAGAAUACCAAGGCGCUUGAGAGAACUCGGGUGAAGGAACUAGGCAAAAUGGUGCCGUAACUUCGGGAGAAGGCACGCUGACA